GUGUAAUUAGCCUUUUGUUUUACAUAACAGGUAAAAGCAAGCAAACAAAAAGAAACAUACGGAAACACCACAACCCUUUCUGAGUAGAAGCAAAGAGAAUACAUGACUGAGACUCGAAGUGGUAGGGCACACUGGUGACUGCGUCUUGGAGGAUUGCUUAAAGAGUUGCUUCUCUCUAUCUUUUUUUCCCCUUCAUUCAUUUAAAAGGGUUAAUUGGGUUGGGAAAUAAAUGCCUGAAAUGGUGUAUUUUGUGUUUGUGAUUCUUCAAUAGACAUUGAUUUUGGAAUCUUCAAAUGGUGCAAGUCCUCACAUUUUUUGUAUGUUUUUUAAAGUGUUCAGUCUGCUUGUAAGUAACAUAGUCAGCAACAACUCUCUGUGAAACAGUUAAACCAUCAGUAAAUAAUUAACGUUUACAACGCUGUCACAUAUUCAUAUGAGCAAGAGCUCUGUAAUGAUGCAUUGCCUCAUACUUGGUUAACGCGUAUGUAUGAACACUAGGUAUCACAUUACAGUUGUAUGGGAUGUUACCUAGAGGAACUGCUGCAGUGGUGUACCAAAGUCCCUGGCUUGAGCUGAAUAACCAGCCACUGUAAAUUGAUACUAUCUUAUCUGUAUCGGAGGAUUCUGUCCGGAGGAGUUUGGAGGCAGCAGGCAGUUGGAGGUGAAUUGACAUCAAACCAUUAAAGCUGCCAUUCUGGCCUUACUUGGCCACAGAACUAAUUGAGCAGAUACUGUUUUUCUUGCUGUUAAUUCACUGAAGCUGUGAACACUGUUGUCUACAGAAGUUUGGAGGACCACUGUAAGCUAAAAUUAUGCUUCUGUUAGAAUAUAUUACUUGCCACUGUUAACUGUGUGGUGAUACUUUACUUGGGGAAUUAAGAGCUUUGUCCCUUCUUCCAUUUCCUCUCACUAGCAUUUCCUGGUCUGGAAUGUAGUCCUUAUUACAUAGUGAAAC
rnacentral:lncRNA from 1 species